rnacentral:lncRNA from 1 species
CUCCGAGCUUGCCACAAUUUGGAAAAGUUGCCUGAGGAUAUAGCAUCAUUGAAGAAGCUAACGCAUUUGGAUGUAUCAGAGUGCUACCUUAUAGAGCGCAUGCCAAAAGGAACCGAGAAACUUGCCUCCCUCCAGGUCUUAAAGGGAUUUGUUAUAGGGACCGCGAGGAAGAACCCUUGCAGGAUCAGCGAUUUGCGAAAAUUGACUAAACUGAGACGGCUAAGUAUAUACAUAGGCCGUGGAGCAGCCAGAUGGGAAGAACAAUUUGCACCGUUGAAGGAGGUUACAUCUCUUCGCUCUUUAACCAUUUCUUGGGGAGUCACUUCUCCGGAACUGCCAUCAAGACCUGAGAUGAAUCCGUUUCUUCCACAACAAUUGGAGAAACUAGAGCUCAUAGGUAUCCCAGAGGCAAGCAUAUCGAAGUGGUUGAACCCUCAAGAAUUGAAGAACCUGAAGAAGCUGUACAUCAUUGGAGGGAAACUGGCGAGCUGGGAUCACCAGCAACAGAAUGAGCAAUGGUCAGUUGAGAUAUUGCGGCUGAAACACCUUAAGGAAUUUAGGAUCGGAAACAAGGAAGAUGUGCUGAAAAAGUUUCCUCGGUUAGGAUACUUCGAGAGGAGCAAGUGUGGUGACGACGAUAUCGUGUGGUACAAGAGGAGGGUAGGUGAGAAAGGAUUUUGAACUGUUAUCGACAAGCCCAGGGGAGAAUGAACCGGAGUUCGUGCAGAAACUGUUAUUAUUUGAGAAGGGACGUAAUGACGGUAAGGCUCAUGUACCAAUACCGUAACAUGACAAAUGAAUAGUCCUUUGGUAUUGGAGCUUUAUCUGACUUCAUAGUUUGUCUAAUUUCCUUUGUAAUGACUUGCGGUGGUAAUACGAUUGCUACUCAUGAAGUUUGUUUGAGAUCUUGGGCUAUUUGAUUAGAGCACUAGUUACAGUUAUUAGCAGAGUUUCUUUUAAUUGCUGAAUCAUUUAUAUUAGUUAAGUUGUAGCCGAGUAGAAUGAGCCUUUGUGAGGCAAAAAUGUAAUGCAAUUUCAGUCUGAUGCCUGGGAAUGGAAAAGUACAAUAAAGUCACAUCCCCUGUUUGAGAACUCAUGUAUAUUCAGUUUAUGAAAACUCAUCAUAAGAGUGUUACAUGCUGCGCAUGAGAUUAAUCGAGGCAUGUGCUUUGGCUUUUUUGGCUUUUUUGGAUUCUCUCCCAAGCUCCCUUUGUUUUGCAAAAAGUGAUUGAUUAAAUAAUCAUUUGCAUCUUUUGAAAUAUAUUAGUUAUUUUUUAAAAAUUAUUGACAAUAAUUUAUGUUUAAAUAUUUUUAUGAAUAAUGAAAAUAUUUUUCGUUCAUUCAUUUUUCUGUGCAAUACAAGUGAUUAUUUUUAAUAAUUUUUUUAAAAUCAUUCAUGCAUCCUUAAUUUUCUCCAAAUUUCUUGAAGAGUUACCUCUUAACAUGCAAUUCUGUUUUUUCGUAUGGUAAAAACAAUGUUGUGAUAUAAUAUAUGGAAACUAUAGAAUCUUGUCAGUACUUAUAUGAGUCAGUUGCAAAUAAUCAAAAUUAUAAUUGGAGAAUCAAAAUUAUAAUCGUGCACAUGCUUAAGUAAUUUUUAAGCUCAAACUUAAAGUAUCUACAUAUAAUUUUUGCUCCGAGUUUUACAUUCGUAGGCCAAAAAGUCAAAAACUAUUCUUCUGAUUUUCGUACGGCGGCUCCUUCGUCCUCACUGCGCGGCUCUUCUAUUAUUGUGUCGCUUGUCGGCCUGUGCGGCUCCCUUUCUCUUAGAGAAGACCCACCGUUCGGCUACAGCAAGCAGAAAAAAGAAAACUUUGCACUUUUUGUUGGCCAAAGACCUUUUUGCCCCAUAAAUAAAUAGAUAUAAUAAAAGAAAAUACACCUUUAUUUUGUCUUUUAGCGAAAGGGCUCUUCACCAUAAAAUUUUGAAGACUUAUUAAACCCGACGAGACAUAAUUUAACAGACAAAGCAAUUUCAUUUUAUGAGAAGUCUUGAUUCCUUCAUCCUAAGAAAAGCACCUAAUUUUCUCAGAGAUUGGGUUGUUUGAUAAAUUGGGUUGUUUGAUAAAUGUUUUAAGUAAAUUUUCAUAAUUGGUAAAAUAUCUAUUAAUGUUUUGAGAGAUGUGAGACGAGUCUUGUCAUCGGGAUAGAAGGAACAUCGAAAUUUCCAAAGUGAUUUCACGGGAAUGCAAAAAGCUUAGCAAAAAAUGAAAUUAAUAGAGCAAAAUAAAGAAUAUGUUCAAGAAAUAUAAAAUUACUUCCUUCGUGUAGAGGUUAUUGCCUUCCCUUGUCCCACUUCCCACUCUCAAUUUAUUCCCUCUUCUCUCCUUUUUGGGUCCUUUUCUUUGGUAAAUAGGGGAAAGCCAUUACCUUUUGACACGAUCAGAAAUCUUUAAUUUGAACCCAAUCAAACAAAUAGCCCAGUCCCCUGCUUUUGUUGAUAAUGAAAGGUACCGAUGACAUUCUGUUUCGUUUUUUUCCCAUAGUUCUUCUUUGCCUAUGGUCUUCAAUGCCGGUGAUCAUCAAAUGCCAAAUUCUCUUUGCCAAUCCUGGCAAGUGUCUUGCGUAAAGCUUCUCCAUCUACUAUUUACAAUGGCAAUUUAUUAAGGGUGCAUGACAAACUAGAAUUUCUGUUCUAGAAACAAUUUUUCUAUUAUAGAUUUGUUUCUGGAAUAAAAAUCUGUUUAAUAAAAUUAUUUCAUUUUUAUUUUUUUUUUGAAAUAGAUUUUAAAUAGAUUUUUUUUUCUAAAAAUAAGUUUGGAAUAGAAAUCAUAAAUAAAAAAUUUAUACUUUUAUAUUUCUAGAAUAGAAAUGAUAACUAAAUUUUUUUUUCAUCCUUUAUCCUUACUAUGAACUGGUUGUCCAUCUGUCACUGUCGACCACCGUCCGUCGAUGGUGCCGCCGCCGCCGUCCACAAUCCCGAUCGCUGCCUGCCCGCCUCCGCCGCCGCCGCUGGAAAGGGAAAAUUUUUGUAUCGUUAUCAAAUGAAUUUCUAUUUUAAGAAUAGAAAUUGUGUGUUGUUAUCAAAUGUGUAUUUUUAUUUAGAAACUCAUCUAGAAAUAGAAAAUAAAAAAAUUUAUUUCUCUUUUAGAAAUCAAUUUUUGAUCACCAUAUACGUAAGAAUUUCUUUUUUAACUUAGUCAAAGAAUGGGUCCCAAGGAAAAAAGAAAAGAAAAGAGAGACAAAAAAUAAAAUGAAAAGAAAGUGGAUGUUCAGCCAUUAAAGGAAAAAGCACACGCAGGGGAUGGAAAGAGAAGAGAGUGGAAAGAAAGAAAAGAGAGAGAAGAUGAAGAAGAAGAAAGAAAGAAAGGGAUUCCUUGUACAUGAUCUGGACAAUCCGACAAGCUGACUCAACUCUGAAUUGCGAGGCCGGUAAGGAUUCAAGCCCUUCGUAGUUGUAAUCUGAAUAAUUUUCGGAAUUGGGGCUUAAAUUCGGAAUCGGGUGAAAUUUGAGUUGCAAAGUCCGAUUUUGGAGUUGUUAAGCUGAGAAAUUAUGGGGUUUUGAUAGUUUAAGGUGUUGUGGAGUUAUAGCAUUUGACGGAAUUCGAUUUGAGCUUACGGUUUGUCCAAAAAGAAUUUUCGAAGUUUCGGCACAUGAUGAACAGUGUAUGUCUAACGAUUUUUGAGCCGAAUUUUGUUGGCUUUCGCCUCAAUUUUAGGUCAGUCAAGUCUUCUAGUGUUUGGAAAGAUCUUUCUUUUCACCGUAAGCUUGUUUGGAAUGGGUGUAGGUGAGAGAUUUAUGGCAUGAUCAAGCUAUGUGCUCAAGUCCCGUGUUGCGAACAGCUUUAAAUAAUUGCUUUGGACGAGCGAUUUGUGGGCAACUUUGAGUCGUUUUAUUAGCAUUUAAGCUUAAUUUAGUCAAUUCGUAAUUGAUGUAGUGUUUUACUCUAUUUUAAUGUUGUGGCUCGCUUAUUUAGUAGGAUUGCAAGUUCAAAUGGUUGAAGUAUUCUAUGUUGUUUUGUUAUAGGUAUUUCAGGUGAGUGGUGUUAUCUCGAAAGGUUACAAUAUUAGUUUAUGAAGAAUUCUGAAAUGAUGUGAGAAAUGUAUUGUGAAAUGUGUUUAGUUUGAUCAACAAAAUUUAGAAAGAUUAUGUAUUUUGUUUUGUGAAAUCAAUUGCUGAUAUUGAUUUUGGAUUUGACUGUUGGUAUUGGAAGAUGUGGAUUUAAUGCUCUAUAUCGCUUUUAACCCAUCGAUGGGUUUGUAGGUAUGCAUUUCAAUUUAAGAUAUUCUUAUGAGCCGAGCCACCAGCUUUGUAGGUGGAAACCUUGCCAUCACCUUGUCACCAAACGUUGUAUCGUAAUCAUAGUUUGAUAUUAAGUAAAAGAUUGGUCAAUGGAUGGAAUAUUGACGUGUGUUUUGAUAUAAGAUAGAUCAAUAGAUUGGACCAUUGGUGCGUGAUUUUGAUGAGAUUGAUAAAUGGAUUUGACCAUUCAUAUUUAUGAUGAUUUAGAUGAGCAUUUUUUGAAUUAUGUAAAACUUAUUGAAAUGAAACGAGUCAUGCAUGAUUUUGUUAUGUAUAUUAGAGAGUUGGAUCAUGAAUUUUCCAGUGGUGCUCGACUAUGCAUAAAAGAGAUUUAUUACUGAUUGAGUUAUGGUUGCUCACCCCCUCUUUCUUAUUCUUUUCAGAUCCUUCGAUUAGUAGGUGUUAAAGUGAGAGUGUUACCAUGGGAACUUUUGGGAGUUAGAUUUUGGUGGUUUGAAUCUGCGUCCUUCAUAGUGUCAUCUCCUUUUCUGUUAGGAUUCGGGGUGUGACAAUAUCUUGAAUCCUAGUACUAGAUAGAUCAUUUCAUCAUAGUAAUGGAAAAGUCUCAGGAUGAAUCCAUGUCUGGUGACACGAAAGAUACCUGGGAAGAGAUCAUGCAGGCUAUAUGCAACAACCUGGAUAACAACCUGUCCGAAGACAAGCUCGACAAGUUAGAGGCCCUUGUAAAAAGAUACAGGAUGGUGAAAUCAUCCUCGAAACAUCGACAGAAUCACAGGGAAGUUCCACUUCCGAUAAUCUCCGGAGAAUGGCGUGAGCGGGCUGAAGAAAGCAAGAAGCUUCUUACGACGAAACUUCAGCCUAGUGAAAGCAACCUCUGCCUUCUUUCUUUGGCGAUUUUCCCUGAAAAUUCGAUUAUAAAGAAAAGAAGUUUAAUAUAUUGGUGGAUAGGACAGGACUUAGUUUCCCAAAGAGGACAGAAGACGGCAGAGCAAGUAGGUGAAGAAGUCUACAAUGAGCUCCUACAACAAGGCCUAAUUGAACCCGACAACGAUGCAAGCCCUCUCAUGAAUAGAUGUAAAAUGCAUCCAUUGAUCCGUUACAGGCUUAUCUCGGAGGCAGAAGAAGCAGGGCUCUUCUAUUUUGAGUCGAAGGAUAAAACUUCUCAUGAGGAUCUCAAAAAUUUAAGCAGCAGCCGCCUGCGCUUAAUAGUAGGUGGAGAAGACAGUCCACAAUAUGAAAAACUAGCCAAAGAUGAACAUGUACACACGGUGUUCAAUGUCAAUCAGCAAUACCUUAAACUCCAAUCCCGUUUGCUUUUGAACAUGAAACAAUUGGCAGUUCUUCAACUAGGACGAUGGCAGCACUCGCCAAAUUAUCAUAUUGAAGUUGAUGAUCAGAAAUUCUUGGAUGAUCUUGGGGUUCAUCACAAGCAUUUGAAGUUCCUAAGCCUUCGAGGAAUUUCUAGGAUCACAGCUCUUCCUGAUUCUAUUGUAGAACUAGUCAGCCUGGAGAUUCUUGACCUCCGAGCAUGCCACAAUUUGGAGAAGUUGCCUGAGGAUAUAGCAUCUUUGAAGAAGCUAACGCAUCUGGAUGUAUCGGAGUGUUACCUUAUAGAGCGCAUGCCGAAAGGAACGGAGAAACUGUCCUCCCUCCAGGUCUUAAAGGGGUUUGUUUUAGGGACUGCGAGGAAAAAUCCUUGCAGGAUCAGCGAUUUGGGAAAAUUGAAGGAAUUGAGAAGGCUAAGUAUAUACAUAGGCCGUGGAGCAGCCAUAGGGGAUGGAGAAUUUGCAUCGUUGAAGGGCAUUGCAUCCCUUUGCUCCCUAACCAUCUCUUGGGGAGUCACUUCUCUGGUGUCGCAAUCAAGUCUUCUGAUAAAUCAGUUUCUUCCAGAACAAUUGGAGAAACUAGAGCUCAUAGGAAUGCCAGAAAAAAGCACACCAAAGUGGUUGAACCCUCAAGAGUUGAAGAACCUGAAGAAGCUGUACAUCAUUGGAGGGGAACUGGCAAGCUGGGAUCACCAGCAACAGAAUGAGCAAUGGUCAGUUGAGAUAUUGCGGCUGAAACACCUCAAGAAUUUGAGCAUCGGAAACAAGGAAGAUGUGCUGAAAAGGUUUCCUCGGUUAGGAUACUUCGAGAAAAAAAAUUGUGCUGACAAUGAUAUCUCGUGGUACUAGAGUAGGGCAGUUUAGAAACUAUUGUGAACAGUUAUCAAGAAGCCCAGGGGAGAGAGAACCAGAGUUCGUGCAGAAACUGUUCUUAUUUGACGAGGGAUGUAGUUAGAGUAACCAUGUACCAAUACUGUAACAUGACAAAUGAAUAGUCCUUUGCUAUUGAAGCUUUAUCUUACUUCAUUGCUGGUCUAAUUUUCUUUUGUAAUGACUUGCCGUGGUUAUACGAUUGCUGCUCAUAAAGAUUGUUUCUCCGCCUAUUUGAUUAGAGUACUAGUUACAGGUAUUAGCAGAGUUUCUUUUAAUAGCUGAAUCAUUUAUAUUGGUUAUGUUGUAGCUGAGUAGAACGAGCCUUUGUGGGGGCAAGAAUGUAAUACAAUUUCAAUCUGAUGAUUUGGCAUGGAAGAGUAAAAUAAAGUCACAUCCCCUGUUGGAGAACUCAUGUAUAUUCAAUUCACAAAAACUCAGCAUAAAAGGGUGUUACAUAUGCAGAAAAGUUCACGAGUAGAAGAAUUUGUAAAUGCAUAAAUGGUGAUGAUAUCCUACAUAAAUGCAUCGGCUAAUUAUAUAGGUGGAAGUACAGAGACGUUGGCAUUUCAAGGAGGAGGAAAUGAUGGGGAGAGAGGGAGAGAGGGAGAGAAAGAGCAGCCAACAUCUUGGGACAGCUUUCUAGUUUCUAUCAAUCCCUGCGGAAGCCUGAGCAGGUAACAGUGAGCCAAAGCCAUGGCCUUUGAUGUAACCUGAAACCUCUCUCAUCCAAGUGAUACUUUUCAAUGUAGUUCCUAGACAUCUUCGAACAUUGUUCUGUCUCCAGUGGCUUAAGAUGAUACACGUAAAUGUAAUGACGGGAAGGUGAGUUCGUCCAUGAAGAGGAAAAAGGAAUUGCGGGGAGGAGAGGGAAAUUUUUGCGUGUAGCCAUUUAGGACGUCCCGACAAGUUAAAACUUCAAAUUACAGCACCCAGAGCUGUAAAGGAGUCGGAAGCAACAGAGCUUCUGGAAGCUAUGAACCGUUUACCAACCGGCCAACCGGCCAAACUUACCUGCUUGGGGUUAAGAAGCCCAAGGGACGAAAACUACCUUUAUUCAUUGCUUCUCCCUUGUAAUUAUGGAAAUUCUUGAACAAAUGCCGUUGUAAUCUUUGUAUUUACCUGAUAUUAUUGUUCUUUCAUUUGAGACGGUUUUGAACGUCAUAUUAUCAAGUCGUAGUUGGGCAAAUCCAUGAUUAAUAACUUGAAGCCAAGUGUAGGAAGUCAAACAUUUUAUAUUUGCCUUUAUUUGCGGUAAAAUAAAAAGGGAAGCCGAUGCCUUCCGCAUGAGACUAAUCAAGAUCUGUAAUUUGGCUUUUCUGGCUUUUUUGGAUUUUCUCCCAUUAAUUUGUUUUGUGAAAAGUGAAUAAUUUAAAAAAUUGUUUGCAUUGCUUGAAAUAUAUUAGUUAAUGAUAUUUUUUAAUUAUUGACAUAAAUUUAUGUUUAAAUAUUUUUAUGGAUAAUGAAAAUAUUUUUCAUAUAUUCAAUUUUUAUGAACGAUAUAAGCGAUCAUUUUUAAAAAAAUAUUUUUCAAAUUAUUUAUUUUUUGCACAACAAUCGCAACCUUAGUUCUCUUUGAAUUUCUUCAGAAAUUAUCUCUUAAUUUGUAAGUAUGUCUCUUCACGGGGUAAAGAGAAUGUUGUAAUAUAAUAUGUUGAAAUGAUAGGGUCAUGUAGAUAAGUUAAUGGGAGUAUUUUUUUUUGUUUUUGAUGGCCCUGGAACUCCCGUACAGCUGGCAACCGGCGAAAUAAACCAGGGGCGGCUGCUAGCCCAGGACCCACGUACUUGCAUUCUUGAGAAAAUUUAAUAGCAAAUAAUUAAUUAUAAUUGAAAAUUUAGCAUUACAAUCACUUACGCGUUUAGAUAUUCUUUAUACCUAAAUUUAAGGCUAAAUUUAAAGUAUUUAUAAAUAAAUAACUCAAUAGAAUGUAAAACUCGCAGCACAAAUAAUCGGUUUUCAAGUCCCAAGCAAAGGGCUAUAUGUACGCCAAAAAUCAAGAACUCCUCUACUGAUCGUCUUUCUUUGCGUAUAGCGGCUCCUUCAACGCUUCUCGGCUUUGUGCGGCUCUCCUCUUAAGGACUACUUGGCUACUUAAAGUAGAAAAAAAGAAAUCUUUUCUAUUUUUGUUGGACAAAGACUUAGGCCCUGUUUGUUAAUGUUCUUUAUUUCUGUUUAUGAACAAAAUUUAUAUUUUUUUUUUCCAGGGAACAAAAAAAGAACAGAAACGUGUUUGUUUGCGUUUUUGUUUCAAAUCUAUUUUUUUUGUUCUCAGGAACAUAUUUGGAACAGAAACAAGAAACAAGAAAAACGUGUUUGUUGUUUAUGGAAUAAUUUUUAAGAAUAAAUUUUCUCUCUCCUCUAUUUUUUUUUUCUUUUUUUUUUCUUAUUUUCUUUUUCUUUGGCUGAUCGUCGGCCUCGGCCGUGGCCGGUGACCAACCGUCGAGGGCCGGCGACCUUGCCGGAGCAUCGCCGGCCCCUAACGAGGCUCGCCGGCCUGGCGGUGGCUCGGCGAGGCUGAGCCUUGCUCGCCCAGAUCCGGCGAGCCUCGCCCUGGCUGGGCGAGGCCGCCGGCCAAAAGAAGAAAAAAAGAAAAAAGAAAAAAAAGAAAGAAAAAUAAAAUAAAAAUAUUAAAAAAUUAAAAGAAACAAAAAAAAAGAACACAAAUUUAUCAAACGUGUUUCUGUUCAUUUUUUAUUUCUGGAACAAGUUUAUCAAACGCGUUUUUUUAUUCAAAAAUUAUUCCCCAGAACAAAAUUACUUUUUUUAUUUUAUUUCUAUUUCCUGAUGCAAUUUUUAAACAUAAAUAGAUAUAACGGAAAAAGUGCGCCCCUUAUUUUGUCUUUUAGCGGCAGGGCUCUUCGCGAUCAAAUUUUGGAAAACACGGUCUUCCAUCGACGAGCCAUUGCCUCAGAUUUAAAGCUCGUCCUGGAGAUGAAGAUCAACGAGUUCCUCCAGAUCUCCACCAUCUUAUCUCAUAUUCACCCUUCUCUCUCGAUCCAAACUCAACCCAACAUCGAUCCACUCUCUCGCUCACUCAAAGUUUAUAUUUUUGUCCCCAGUCCGAUGCGUAAAUGAAGGCUCCGACCACAUGUCGGUGACCCGAGCGAGACCCAGAUGGGAAAACACGCUUUCUGCUCCGACCUGUUAUUGCUUGCUUCAUUCUGAACAGAGAAAGAAAAACAGAUGAUGUUUCAUACUGUGGACGGAACAGUGCUUUAUGUAUCGAAGGCCGUGAGCGACGGCUCGUUCGGUUGGCUCGGACGCAGCCGGUGACUCCACCGGGUACUGAACGAGGUAGAUGGCGGUAGACGGAUGAGGAAAAUGAGGGAGGAAACACAGGAGUUAAUUUUUUAUUUUUGUUUAUUUACUUGCCACGGCACGGACACGUGUCAACUUUUAAUUGACUUUAAGAAUAAAAAUAUAUGCUAUGUCAUCCUAUCACAUUCUGAUUUCUCCAUCUACUACUUACGGUGCCAGUUUAUUAGGGCGCGCAUGACAAAAUUUCUAUUUCUCGAUUUCUUUGUUUCUCUGUUUCUCUGUUUCCGGAACAGGUGUGGAACAGAAAUCCAUUUAGUAACACAAUUUGAUUUCUCUAUUUCUGAAACAGAUUUCUUUACAGAAAUAGAGAAAUUAAAGAAAUCAGAAACUGGAAUUUUUAACUUCUCAGUUUCUGAAAUAUAAAUCAGAAACUAAAAUCAAACCAUAUAAAAGAUCCUUGCGCUUUCUUGCUAACUUAAUUCACUCAUAACCACAACUUCACAAAUUAUUGCUAAUUUUCUUUUAUUAUUUUGCUCAUGCUUUUGUUUGCAUUUUUUUUUAACUUUUUUUUAAUAACUUCCUCUUUAGGAUGAAAGUCCUCAAUUUUCAAAAACGACCAAAGUUCUUAAGUGCUUACUUAAAAACAAUGGGGCUCUUUCUUCCUAGAAAAGGCACACACAUGGCCAGUUGAAGAAAAAGUUCUUACGUAAUAGAUGAAUAAAAAACGUGCCUAGAAAUUUAACCUUAUUUUUUUACGGAUUCAAAAUUCUUGCAAAAUCAAAAUAAUUAGAUUGUUACACAAUCUUGAAUUUUAAUUCGAAGGCAAGAGAUUCAAGAGAAUCUCUCUCUUUGCUAUGGAAUGGCCAUUAAAGGUUCAUUGAGCAACAAUAAAGAAAUUAGGGAUGAGCAACUAGACUGAUUCAAUUUGAGAAUAAAAAUAAACCGACCUUCCCCCGAUUGGUUCCUAACCAUAAACGUUAUUUUAAGGUAGAAUUAUCAUAUAUUACUUUACACCAUUAAUUUUAUUUUGUUGAUAAUCUUGUAUAAUACUAGUUUUUGAUAAAAUGACAAGGAUGUAUAGGCGCCAUUGAUGGCACUCAUAUUCAUGCUUCCGUAGUACUUGUCUGAACCUACACAGGAUGAGCUUGCAAAUGAUACAUUGACCACGCAGGAUGAGCUUGCAAAUGAUACAUUGACCGAGAAGGGAAACCAAAUAAAUACGCUUAGGAAAACAAUUGUUAAUAAAAUGGCAAUGGAUAAUAAUAUGCCGGAAAUUUCAUGAAAUUCCAUGAAAUUGUAUUUUCAACUUUUAUAAUGUAUUAGUAUUAUUUCGACUAUUAUUUUGUAUUUGAGGAUUUCCUAUGUUGUUAUCUAAUCAAUUUCUAUUCUUAAAAAUAGAAAUUUUGUUCUGUUAUCAAACGGAUUUUUGUUUUAAAAAUAGAAAUUUUGAGUCAUUAUCAAAUGGGUUUCUUUGCUCGGAAACUUGUCCGGGAACUAGAAAUUAAGAAAUUGAUUUAUUGCCAGAAAUGAAUUUCUGUUUCAGAAAUUUUGUCAUGCGCAGCCUUAAUAUUCAAAUAUGGGUCACCGAAUUUGUAAGAAUUGCUUUCUUGACUUAGUCAAAGAAUGGGUCCAGAAACCAAAAAGAGGGGCAAAAGAAAAUGAAAAGAUAAGUGGAUGUUCAGCUAUUAAAGGGAAAAAGCACAUGCACGGGAAGGAAAGAGAAAAGAGAGUGGAACGAAAGGAAACAGAGAAAGAAGAAGAGGAAGAAGGAAGAAAGGGAUUCCAUGUACACGAUCUGGAUAUUCCAACAAGCCAACUCAACUCCGAAUUGCGACGCCGGUAAGGAUUCAAGCCUUUCGUACUUGUAAUCGGAAAAGUUUUUGGAAUUAAGACUUAAAGUCGGAAUCAAAUGAAAUUUGAGUUGCGAACUCCGAUUAUGGAGUUGUUAAACUGAAAAAUUAUGGGGUUUUGAUAGUUUAAGGUGAUGUGGAGUUAUAGCAUUUUACGGAAUUCGAUUUGAGCUUAUGAUUUGUCCAAAAAGAGUUUUGGACGUUUCCACGCACGAUGAACAGUAGACUUUCAGCAACUUUUGAGCCAAAAUUUGUUGAUUUUCGGCUAAAUUUUAGGUUGGCCAAGUUAUGAGUGUUCUAGUGUUUGGAAAAAUCUUUCUUUUGACUGUAAGCUCAUUUGGAACGGAUUUAGGUGAGAGAGUUAUGGCACGAUCAAGUUAUGCACUCAAGUCCCAUGUUGCGAACGGCUCUAAAUAAUCGCUUUGAACGAGUGAUUUGUGAGCACCUGUGAGUCGUUUUAUUAGCAUUUAAGCUUAAUUUAGUUAAAUCGUAAUUGAUGUAGUGUUUUACUUUAUUUUAAUGUUGGGUCUCACUUAUUUAAUAGGAUGACGAGUUCAAAUGGUUCAGGUAUUCUCCGAUGAUUUGUCAUAGGCAUUCCAGGUGAGUGCUAUCUCAAAAUAUUAUAUAUAUAUUGAUUUGUGAAUAUUGAUUUAUGAAGAAUUCUAAAAUGAUGCAAAAAAUAUAUUGUGAGUUGUGUUCAGUUUGAUGAACGAAAUUUAGAAAGAUUAUGCUUUUUGUUUUGUGAAAUCAAUUGCACAUUGAUUUUGGAUUUGAUUAUUGAUAUUGGAAAAUGUGAGUUUGAUGCUCAAUAUUUUUGUAGGUAUGCAUAUUGAUUUAGGAUAUCCUUUUUAACCGAGUCACCGGCUUUGUAAGUGAAGAUCUUGCCAUUGAUCUGUCACUAGGCAUUAUAUUAUAACCAUGGUAUGAUAUUAAGCAAAAGAUUGGUUGCUGAAUGGAACAUUGGAGUGUGUUUUGAUAUAAGAUGGAUCAAUGAAUUAGACUAUUGAUGUGUGAUUUUGAUGAGAUUGAUCAAUGGAUUUGAUCAUUCAUAUUUAUGAUGAUUUAGGUGAGUAUUUUCCGAAUUGUGUAAAGCUUGUUGAAAUGAAACAAGUCAUACAUGAUUUUGUUAUGUAUAUUAUAGAGUUAGAUCAUGAAUUUUCUGGUAGUGCUUGACUAUGCAUAAAAGAGAUUAAUUACUCACUGAGUUGUGGGUGCUCGCUCACUUAUCUCUUUCUCGUUCUUUUCAGAUUUACUAUGGGAACUUUUGGGAGUUAAAUUUGGUGGUUUGAGGCUACGUGUCCUUCGGUGGUGUCAUCCCUUUUAUGCUAAGAUUCACGGUGUGACAAUAUCUUGAAUCCUAUUCCUAGAUAGAUCAUUUCACCGUAAUAAUGGAAAAGUCUCUGUAUGAAUCCAUGUCUGGUGACACUAAAGAUAGGACUAAAGUGCAAUCCUGGGAAGAGAUCGUGCAGGCCAUGCGCAACGACAUGAAUACCGACCCGUCUGAAGACCAGCUCGUCACGUUAGAGGGCCUUGUGCAAGGUUACAGGAAGGUGAAAUCAUUUUCGAAACAUCGAAAGAAUCAAAGGGAAGUUCCACUUCCAAUACUAUCUGAAGGUUGGCGUGAACGGGCCGAAGAAAGCAAGAACCUUCCUAUGCUUAGUCAACCCAAUGAAUGGAGUUCUCCGUUGAAGCGCUGCCUUCCUUCUUUUGCGAUUUUCCCUGAAAAUUCAAUUAUAAAGAAAAGAAGUUUAAUAUAUUGGUGGAUAGGACAGGACUUAGUUUCCCAAAGAGGAGAGAAGACGGCAGAGCAAGUAGGUGAAGAAGUCUACAAUGAGCUCCUACAAGGAGGCCUAAUUGAACCCGACGAUAACGAUCCAAGCCCUCUCAUGAAUAGAUGCAAAAUGCAUCCAUUAAUCCGUUACUGGCUUAUCUCGAAGGCAGAAGAAGAAGGGUUCUUCUAUUUCACGAAGGAUAAAACUUCUUCUGAGGAUCCCGGAAAUUUAAGCAGCGGCCGCCUGCGCUUAAUAGUAGGUGGCUUAAUAGUAGGUGGAGAAGACGGUCCAAAACAUAUAGAUAUGGCUAACGAUGAAGAUGUACACACGGUGUUCAAUGUCAAUCAGCAAUACCUUAGCCUCCAACCCCGUUUGCUUUCGAACAUGAAAAAAUUGGCAGUUCUUCAACUAGGACGAUGGCAGCACUCGCCAAUGCAUCAUAUUGAAGUUGAUGAUCAGAAAUUCUUGGAUGAUCUUGGGGCUCAUCACAAGCAUUUGAAGUUCCUAAGCCUUCGAGGAAUUUCUAGGAUCACAGCUCUUCCUGAUUCUAUUGUUGAACUAGUCAGCCUGGAGAUUCUUGACCUCCGAGCGUGCCACAAUUUGGAGAAGUUGCCUGAGGAUAUAGCAUCUUUGAAGAAGCUAACGCAUCUGGAUGUAUCAGAGUGUUACCUUAUCGAGCGCAUGCCAAAAGGAACUGAGAAACUGUCCUCCCUCCAGGUCUUAAAGGGGUUUGUUAUAGGGACUGCGAGGAAAAACCCUUGCAGGAUCAGCGAUUUGGGAAUAUUGAAGAAACUGAGAAGGCUAAGUAUAUACAUAGGCCGUGGAGCAGCCAUACGGGAUGGAGAAUUUGCAUCGUUGAAGGAGGUCGCAUCUCUUUGCUCUCUAACCAUCUCUUGGGGAGUCACUUCUCUGGCAUCACAAUCAAGUCUUCUGAAAGAUCAGUUUCUUCCAAAGCAAUUGGAGAAACUAGAGCUCAUAGGUAUGCCAGAGGCAAGCAUACCGAAGUGGUUGAAUCCUCAAGAAUUGGAGAACCUGAAGAAGCUGUACAUCAUCGGAGGGGAACUGGCUAACUGGGAUCGCCAGCAACAGAAUGAGCAAUGGUCAGUUGAGAUAUUGCGGCUGAAACACCUUAGGAAAUUGAGAAUCGGAAACAAUGAAGAUGUGCUGAAAAAGUUUCCUCGGUUAGGAUACUUUGAGAAGAUCAAUUGUGCUGACGACGAUGUCUUGUGGUACAAGAGUAGGGCAGUCUUCUAGAAAGGAUUGUGAACUGUUGUC